UAACGCUGGCGGCGUGCUUAACACUUGCAAGUCGAACGAACUUCGCGGUUAGUGGCGGACGGGUGAGUAACGCUGAAUCUGCCCUCAGGAGGGGGACAACAGUUGGAAACGACUGCUAAUACCCCAUAUGCCGCGAGGUGAAAUGAAUUUCGCCUGAGGAUGAGCUCGCGUCUGAUUAGCUAGUUGGUGUAGGUAAUGGCUCACCAAGGCAUCGAUCAGUAGCUGGUCUGAGAGGAUGAUCAGCCACACUGGGACUGAGACACGGCCCAGACUCCUACGGGAGGCAGCAGUGGGGAAUUUUCCGCAAUGGGCGAAAGCCUGACGGAGCAACGCCGCGUGAGGGAUGAAGGCCUCUGGGCUGUAAACCUCUUUUAUCAAGGAAGAAGAUCUGACGGUACUUGAUGAAUAAGCCACGGCUAAUUCCGUGCCAGCAGCCGCGGUAAUACGGGAGUGGCAAGCGUUAUCCGGAAUUAUUGGGCGUAAAGCGUCCGCAGGCGGCCCUUCAAGUCUGCUGUUAAAAAGUGGAGCUUAACUCCAUCAUGGCAGUGGAAACUGUUGGGCUUGAGUGUGGUAGGGGCAGAGGGAAUUCCCGGUGUAGCGGUGAAUGCGUACGAUAUCGGGACGAACACAGGUGGGAAAGGCGGCUUCUGCUGGGCCACUCACUGACCGCUCAUGGACGAAACGCCAGGGAGCGAAGGGGAUUAGAUCCCCCCUGUUGUUCUUGGCCCGUACUGAUUAACCACUUAGGUUGUCGGGGGGAAUCGCAACCCCUCGGGUGUUCGUGCCACACGCGGUUAGUUGUUCCGGCUCUGGUGGAGUUCCGCCACGCGUUGUUGACCCUCCAGGCCUUG
rnacentral:rRNA from 1 species